rnacentral:rRNA from 1 species
GCAGAGAUGCUUUGGUGCCUUCGGGAACUCUGAGACAGGUGCUGCAUGGCUGUCGUCAGCUCGUGUUGUGAAAUGUUGGGUUAAGUCCCGCAACGAGCGCAACCCUUAUCCUUUGUUGCCAGCGGUUAGGCCGGGAACUCAAAGGAGACUGCCAGUGAUAAACUGGAGGAAGGUGGGGAUGACGUCAAGUCAUCAUGGCCCUUACGAGUAGGGCUACACACGUGCUACAAUGGCAUAUACAAAGAGAAGCGACCU